rnacentral:lncRNA from 1 species
CAUCUUUUGUUUAAUAAUAAUAAUAAUAAUCAGUAACUUUGUUUUACACGACGAACAAGCAGGAUCUCAACUUAAAGCGCAUAGACACUAAAACGUUGGCUGCGAACCGGAAACUUGCAUGCAGGAGGAAACUCUCCAAGAAUUGUCCUGGCAUUUGCAUAUGAUGUCAAGUUGAAGUCAAAAAAUGGAUGGUUUAUUUAGAUUGUCUCCAUAUCUAAUCUUGUACAUUUAUUGAGCAUGCAGAAAUUCGGGCCAAAGAUGGUACAUAUGCUGUGAAUUGUGUGUUGAUGUUUCUAGAGUAACUUAGACUUGUGAGUUUAUAGUAUUUUCUAAUUGACAUGUAAUAUUCAAGUGUUCAAUUUAAUUUCUAGAUAUUACUCUUGAAAACUUAUGUAUCGACAAUGUAAAAAACUUACAUAAAUUUAUGCUCGUUUAAUUAGAUAUUACUCUCUUCUUCCCUAAUCGUGAUAAACUUACGAGGAGGGUAGUGCGAUCAAAUAUAAUGUAUGUAUGCGCACAAGUUGGCAGGGAGUGUUGAUAGUCUUUGAUUUCCCUUACAAUUAGCAAUAGAAUCAUAUUAUAAUUAUGAAUAUUGAUCCUUAAAACUCAGGUAUUUGGGUUCUAAAAUGUUAAUAAGUUAGCAUUAUAAAUUUGCUGAGAGGGUUUCUCUCAAUCGAUAAUUCUUUGAUUUAGUUAGUUAGACUACGCAAUGUAUCUAGGCCAUUAUUUAUUUACAUGAUAUUGAUCUCAACACAACAUCCUGCAUUCAAAUGUUUGGAAACAAAUGUAAGAAAAUGCGACAUGUGUUAGAGCCAUGAGUGCAAGCACAGAACAUAAAAGGUGUUUCUCGAGAUCCCUAAUUAUCAAGCGUGACUUGAUUGAUAUUCCGCUGUUUGGAUUGAGCAUAAACACUCGUGAGACUGUUUUCGAAAACUUAUGAAAAUAACUUAUGACAUGUUCAUAAAAUGUUUUCAGCUUAUUUUUAUAAGCCAUUGAAGAUAAUAUAUAUUUAUAAGCUAAAUUAAAACUUAGCUCUAGAAUCCAAUAAUGAAUGGAUUAACAUUCUGGUUCUCAAUAAUGAAGGAUUGAACAAUUUAAGGGAAAAAUAGAGAAAAGGUUGGAAAAUGAAGUAAGUAACCUGUUAACGAGGCUUGCAGCAACAGCAUAAGGAAUUUGUUCAGCCAUCCUUCAAAAAGAAAAUACUACAAAUUAAACAAAUUGAAGAUUGAAAAAAGUUUGAGAGUGGCAAUGAAUAACAGGAAGGGAGGAAUAGUGAGCAAAUCAGAAGCCUUAAGUCGUCCCUUUAUCUGCACGUUGCUGCACUCUC